rnacentral:misc_RNA from 1 species
AAGUCGUAACAAGGUUUCCGUAGGUGAACCUGCGGAAGGAUCAUUAUUGAAAACAUUGUGAAGAAAGUUGAGCUGGCUCUUCAAGGGCAUGUGCUUGCUUUCUUUCAAUCUUCAUCCACCUGUGCACUCUUUGUAGGAGGGCUUAAGAAAGGACGCAAGUCUUAGUAAAGAGCCCUUCUAUGUUUUACAAACCCUUGAUGUAUGUCUUUGAAUGUCUUUUUAAAGGGACUUUAUUGGCCCUCUAAGAACUAUACAACUUUCAGCAACGGAUCUCUUGGCUCUC